AUGGAGACCUGUAUGAAUGGCAUAACGAGGGCUUAACUGUCUCCUCUUUCCAGUCAAUGAAAUUGAUCUCCCCGUGCAGAAGCGGGGAUAAACACAUAAGACGAGAAGACCCUAUGGAGCUUUAGACACUAAGACAGAUCAUGUUAAACACCCCCCAAUAAAGGCCUAAACUUAAUGACCCCCUGUCCUAAUGUC
rnacentral:rRNA from 1 species